CGUGGAGACAGGUGGUGCAUGGCUGUCGUCAGCUCGUGUCGUGAGAUGUUGGGUUAAGCCCCGCAACGAGCGCAACCCUCACCCCUUGUUGCCAUCAGGUCACGCUGGGCACUCUAGGGGAACUGCCCCGGUCAACGGGGAGGAAGGUGGGGACGACGUCAAGUCAUCAUGCCCCUUACGUCCUGGGCUACACACGUGCUACAAUGGCCGGUACAAAGGGAUGCAAGACCGUGAGGUGGAGCUAAACCCAAAAAGCCGGUCUAAGUUCAGAUUGGAGUCUGCAACUCGACUCCAUGAAGGAGGAAUCGCUAGUAAUCGCGUAUCAGCACGACGCGGUGAAUACGUUCCCGGGCCUUGUACACACCGCCCGUCACACCACGAAAGCCUGCUGUACUCGAAGUCGCUGAG
rnacentral:rRNA from 1 species